CUUUUUCUUUUCCUCUGUCAUCUUCCUCUUCCUCAAGCAGCAAGACUAAUAAGUGAACCACAAAAUCCAUUUGGGUGUUUCCGCCUUCCUGCUCAUAAACUUUGACAGUGGAAUUAGCACAUGAAGAGGUGGAGAAAGUUGGGCUUUUUCCUCUUCAACAUUGCUGCAAUACUCUAAGAUAUGGUAUAU